rnacentral:sRNA from 1 species
GGGUUCCCAGAAGGAGACCGCUAAGCUGCGAUGCUGCGUCGCAGGCGGCAAGCAAUUAUCCCAGCUGUUGGAACUGCGGCGGCCCAUGGGGCCCCGGGCGGGAGGACAGGUUCUUCUGCCCACAGUGCCGAGCGCUGCAGGCACCUGACCCCACUCGAGACUACUUCAGCCUUAUGGACUGCAACCGUUCCUUCAGAGUUGAUACUGUGAAGCUCCAGCACAGGUACCAGCAACUGCAGCGUCUUGUCCAUCCAGAUUUCUUCAGCCAGAGGUCUCAGACUGAAAAGGACUUCUCAGAGAAGCAUUCGACCCUGGUGAAUGAUGCCUAUAAGACCCUCCUGGCUCCACUGAGCAGAGGACUGUACCUUACUAUCUUAAGAGGCCAGGCAUGGUGGCUCGCGCCUGUAAUCCCAGCACUUUGGGAGGCGAAGGCGGGUGGAUCACAACAUCAGGAGUUCAAGACCAGCCUGGUCAAGAUGGUGAAACCCCGCCUCUACCAAAAAUACAAAAAAAUUAGCCGGGCGUGGUGGCGGGUGCCUGUAAUCCCAGCUACUCGGGAGGCUGAGGCAGAGAAUUGCUUCCCCAGGAGGCAGAGGUUGCAGUGAGCUGAGAUCACGCCAUUGCACUCUAGCCUGGGCAACAGAGCGAGACUUCGU